UACGGGGGGAGCAAGCGUUGUUCGGAUUUACUGGGCGUAAAGGGCGCGUAGGCGGCCAGCACAAGUCAGUUGUGAAAUCUCCGAGCUUAACUCGGAAAGGUCAACUGAUACUGUGCGGCUAGAGUGCGGAAGGGGCAACUGGAAUUCUUGGUGUAGCGGUGAAAUGCGCAGAUAUCAGGAGGAACACCGAUGGCGAAGGCAGCCCCCUGGGUCAAGAUUGACGCUCAUGCACGAAAGCGUGGGGAGCAAACAGG
rnacentral:rRNA from 1 species